ACUCAGUAGCUGAGUGGAUAACGCGAUGGCUUUCGAAGCGAAAGUUGCUGAGUUCCAAUCCCGGCGUGAUCA
rnacentral:tRNA from 1 species